GACGAACGCUGGCGGCGUGCUUAACACAUGCAAGUCGAACGGAAAGGCCUGCUUUCCCUUGUGGAUUGCGGGUACUCGAGUGGCGAACGGGUGAGUAACACGUGAGUGAUCUGCCCCCAACUUGGGUAUAAGCCUGGGAAACUGGGUCUAAUUCCCGAUAGGACUGCAGGGUGGUGCCUGUGGUGGAAAACGAUUUUCUAGUGGUUGGGGAUGAGCUCGCGGCCUAUCAGCUUGUUGGUGGGGUAAUGGCCUACCAAGGCGGCGACGGGUAGCCGGCCUGAGAGGGUGGACGGCCACAUUGGGACUGAGAUACGGCCCAGACUCCUACGGGAGGCAGCAGUGGGGAAUAUUGCACAAUGGGCGGAAGCCUGAUGCAGCGACGCCGCGUGGGGGAUGACGGCCUUCGGGUUGUAAACUCCUUUCGACCGCGAGGAAGCCACCUGGUUGGAAGGGUGGUGAUGGUAGUGGUAGAAGAAGCACCGGCUAACUACGUG
rnacentral:rRNA from 1 species